GUUUGAAAAGGAUGACAACUUCACUCUCUCGAUAGCUAGCUGCGGCGAUGCUGCUUCUAUCACCAUCUUUCGGCUGAUUCGAAA
rnacentral:snoRNA from 1 species